GUGGGGAAUCUUGCGCAAUGGGGGAAACCCUGACGCAGCAACGCCGCGUGGAGGAUGAAAUCCCUUGGGAUGUAAACUCCUUUCGAUCGGGACGAUUAUGACGGUACCGGAAGAAGAAGCCCCGGCUAACUUCGU
rnacentral:rRNA from 1 species